UCUUUCUAGGAACACUUUCCAGUACCCCUACUUUGUUACGACUUAUUUCAAUUUUUAAAUGAAAGUGACGGGCAAUAUGUACAUAUUUCAAUUAUAAAUCAUUUUAAAAAACUAUUUAAAAUUACAUUUAAAUCCACCUUCAAAUAAAUAUUUCAAAAUUAUUAUCUGUUUAUAUAAAUAUAUUGUAAUCCAUCUUAAAUUUAAUUAUAAUCUACAUCUUGAUCUGAAUUAAUUUUAAAUUAAAAUUUUAAAAUAUUAUUUUUAUUUAAAAAUAUUUUUUUAACAACGAUAUAUAAAAUUUUAAAUUAAAUACAAUUAUUCGUGGAAUAUCAAUUACUAGACAGAUUCCUCUAAAUGAACUAAAAUACCGCCAAAUUAUUUAAGUUUCAAUAAAUAAUUACAUACUAUUUUAGUAAUUUAAAUUAAUUUUUU
rnacentral:rRNA from 1 species